GACGAACGCUGGCGGCGUGCCUAAUACAUGCAAGUCGAACGCAGUGGGGACGGGUGAGUAACAAGUGGGUAACCCCCCAUCAGAAGGGAUAACACUUGGAAACAGGUGCUAAACCGAUACGGAGGGAUGGACCCGCGGUGCAUUAGCUAGUUGGGGAGGUAACGGCUCACCAAGGCCACGAUGCAUAGCCGACUUGACAGGGUGAUCGGCCACACUGGGACUGAGACACGGCCCAGACUCCUACGGGAGGCAGCAGUAGGGAAUCUGCGGCAAUGGACGAAAGUCUGACCGAGCAACGCCGCGUGAGUGAAGAAGGUUUUCGGAUCGUAAAACUCUGUUGUUAGAGAAGCGUUAUCUAACCAGAAUGCCACGGCUAACUACGUGCCAGCAGCCGCGGUAAUUC
rnacentral:rRNA from 1 species